GAUGAACGCUGGCGGCAUGCCUAACACAUGCAAGUCGAACGGAUGGCUUCGGCCAUUAGUGGCGGACGGGUGAGUAACGCGUGGGAACCUGGCCUUAGGUUCGGAAUAACCAGUGGAAACGCUGGCUAAUACCGGAUGAGCCCCUUCGGGGGGAAAGAUUUAUCGCCUUUGGAUGGGCCCGCGUUGGAUUAGCUAGUUGGUGGAGUAAAGGCCUACCAAGGCGACGAUCCAUAGCUGGUUUGAGAGGAUGAUCAGCCACACUGGGACUGAGACACGGCCCAGACUCCUACGGGAGGCAGCAGUGGGGAAUAUUGGACAAUGGGCGCAAGCCUGAUCCAGCAAUGCCGCGUGAGUGAUGAAGGCCUUCGGGUUGUAAAGCUCUUUCACCGAUGACGAUAAUGACGGUAGUCGGAGAAGAAGCCCCGGCUAACUCCGUGCCAGCCGCCGCGGUAA
rnacentral:rRNA from 1 species